rnacentral:rRNA from 1 species
AGUAAUGCAUCGGAACGUACCGAGUAGUGGGGGAUAACUGUCCGAAAGGAUGGCUAAUACCGCAUACGCUUUGAGAAGGAAAGCAGGGGCUCUUCGGACCUUGCGCUAUUCGAGCGGCCGAUGUCUGAUUAGCUAGUUGGUGGGGUAAAGGCCUACCAAGGCGACGAUCAGUAGCGGGUCUGAGAGGAUGAUCCGCCACACUGGGACUGAGACACGGCCCAGACUCCUACGGGAGGCAGCAGUGGGGAAUUUUGGACAAUGGGCGCAAGCCUGAUCCAGCCAUGCCGCGUGUCUGAAGAAGGCCUUCGGGUUGUAAAGGACUUUUGUCAGGGAAGAAAAGGUUGUGGUUAAUACCCAUGACUGAUGACGGUACCUGAAGAAUAAGCACCGGCUAACUACGUGCCAGCAGCCGCGGUAAUACGUAGGGUGCGAGCGUUAAUCGGAAUUACUGGGCGUAAAGCGGGCGCAGACGGUUACUUAAGUCAGAUGUGAAAUCCCCGGGCUCAACCUGGGAACUGCGUUUGAAACUGGGUGACUAGAGUAUGUCAGAGGGGGGUAGAAUUCCACGUGUAGCAGUGAAAUG